GCUGGGCGUGGAGGUGCACACCUGUAAUCCCAGAGGCUCAGGAGGCUGAGGCAGGAGGAUUGUGAAUUCAAAGCCAGCCCCAGCAACUUAAUGACGCCCUGAGCAACUCAGCAAGACCUUGUCUCAA
rnacentral:sRNA from 1 species